UCGCCAACUAAAUAAUUCGUAUAUAAGUUUAUUUAUUAUUCUCCAGCCGAUGUGGGACGGCAACAGUCACAAAUUUCUUAAAACAUUAUUAUCAUAGUUAUAAAAUCCGGACCGGACUAGCCAGUUCGGUCCAGAACCCGUCGAAUUGGACCCAAGUCCCGUCCGAGUUUAAUGAAUUUAUGGCUGAACAAUCAGCUCUCUAUCAACCCGUUUGAACCACUGGCUUUUCAUAAAAAUCGGGUACCACUUUUCCUUUGACCCACCAGGUCUUUAUUAACCUUUGUUUCUUUCCAAUUUUCAGUUUCCAUCUUUUCGGUUUCCUCACUCCCGUCUCCUCACAACUUCUAAAACAUUAGGGAUUGUUGCAAAAUCAAAAAGUUAAGCCGCCGUCUCCAAUCUCUUGCAAUUCAACAACUCCAAAAAAUCCAAUCUCCAAUUUCAAGUUUUAAGAUACGGAAUCCAUGAAACAAUAGCCCCCCAUGUUGCACUGGUUGAUGAACAAGCAAGCCCAGAAGAAUGUGAAAUCCAUGCGAAUAGGGGACCUUUCUUUUUUUCUACCAUUUGGGCACGAAAGUCGGUUGCGUGGUGGGCAUGGUCUGUGUGGAGAAGGAUGUUUGGAGAAAAGUUUGUGAGAUGGGUGGUGGAUAUGAUGGGGACAAUGGCGGUCAUUAUGCUUAAUGGUGAUUAGGGGGUGCUCUAAAGGUGUACUUGUAAUUACUGACUUUUUGGAAGGGGUGCUUCUAGGCUAGCAAGUAGCAACAUCUUUAUUUUGGCUACGGGGGAUAUGCUCUAAAGGUAUUUGAUAUUUUGUAGCAAAGGGAUAUGUUAAUAGUUGUAAUCACUGCAACAUCUUUAUUUUAGACUAGCAACAUCCUUAUUUUGGCUAUGAAAUCUUCUAUAAUGUGUGAUAUGAUGAUCGGAAUCAA